rnacentral:rRNA from 1 species
UGGGGAAUAUUGCACAAUGGAGGGAACUCUGAUGCAGCCACGCCGCGUGAGUGAUGAAGGACUUCGUUUCGUAAAACUCUGUUCUAUGGGAAGAAAAGGACUGUACCAUAGGAGAAAGCUCCUGCUAAAUACGUGCCAGCAGCCGCGGUAAUACGUAUGGAGCGAGCGUUGUCCGGAAUUAUUGGGCGUAAAGGGUGCGCAGGCGGCUUUACAAGUUGGAUGUGAAAUAUUGUGGCUCAACCACAAACGUGCAUCCAAAACUGCAAAGCUUGAGUUAGGGAGAGGUAAGUGGAAUUCCUGGUGUAGCGGUGUAAUGCGUGGAUAUCAGGAGGAAUACCGGUGGCGAAGGCGACUUACUGGACUUAAACUGACGCUCAGGCACGAAAGCGUGGGGAGCAAUCAGG